UUGUUAAAGACUGACUUAUGCGAAAGCAUUUGCCAAGGAUGUUUUCAUCGAUCAAGAACGAAAGU
rnacentral:rRNA from 1 species